rnacentral:lncRNA from 1 species
GCAAUAUCAUCAAGAGUUUCGUUGAUUUCUUUUAUCUUCAGAGCAAUGUCACGACGUAAGACAAGUGGUUUGCAGGCAAAGCAAGAUGCAGUAGGAAAGAAGGAACAUACCUUCUUGUUAGGAACGAGAGCAUCAUUCUCGUGAUCAUCCACUCCGUCGAUUUGCAGUUUGAGCCUUGCAGUGUUCCACUCACCCAACACGUCUUCCAUGUCGUAACAUGCGUCUCUGAGUUGAUCGAGCCAGAGUCUGACAGUUUCCUCCUUCACUUGCCUUUUCUCAGCAUCAUGGAGCACAGCUCGAAUGGCUCGGAGAUUGCUGGUCAGCUUCUUCGCUUCCUUUCCGACACCCGUUACUAGCCUCACUUGUUCCUUCGCCUCUUCAACAGCCAUUGAAGUCAGCUGCUCCAAGAUAGGGGAAAGGAUCGCAUCAACCAUGGUGAAAAAGAAAAAAGAGAGAGAGAAGAAAUUGAUGGUGAAUUGUUGCAAAAGUAAGUAGCUAAUGCUGAAAGAAAUGAAGGAGCUGAUAAAGUGGUGAAAAUGUUGCCGUAUUCUUUCAAUUCUUAUAGUACUGCAAGCAAAAUUCUAAUUUAGAAAUAUUUCAUUUCAGCCCCUUGUGAAAGAAGCUACUGUUAUUAUUAUUACUUUUUUUUUUUUUAAUACCAGCAAAGAGUGAAAAUGACGUACAGUUAUGGACAGGAAAUAAUAUAUUGUUAGGUCCUACAUCGGCGAUUCACGCGAUAUAUGAAACUGACAAAGUUUUCCCUGAUCACUUUUUAAAUAAUUGAACAAGUUGUUGGAUAAUAUUUGUGAUCGUGUCGUCAUAUUGAGAUUUGGAAAUAUUUGCUUUAUAUGUGUAUUAUUAGCUUAGAAAUACCUUGACCAUCUCUUUCUUAUUUCCUUCUUCUUCUUUUUUUUUUUAAAUUUGACUCGUUUGCAUAAUUAGUUGAAAGGAAAGAAUGAACAUACUAAUAAACUAGGAAAACGCUGCCACAUAAUAUUUUAAGAUUCAUAUCAAACCACUUUAUUUUAGUUUUGUCAUUUUAGCAGAUGUCUGAUAGUGGGAGUUUAGAGUUUAAUCUCUAACUUUGCUUGUGAAGUGUGAAAAAUCAAAUAAUCUGUUCAACUUGUUUUUCAACAAAAAUAGAUAACAAUUCAUCAUCACUUAUUUCUCAUUAUGUAUAAAAUGAUCAAUCUAGAGCUGGAUAUUCGCAUAUUUUUCUAUUUCUAAUCAUUUCAAAAUAUAAUAUGAACUUUAAAAAAAAAUCAAAUUGUAAUAAAGUGACAUAAAUAUUAAAAAAUGAAAAUAAAAAGUCAAAAAUGUAAUGCGGAAAAAAGACAAAACCUUUUGUUUGCUCUAUUCAUGGCAUCUAAAUAUGAGAAAUGAUGGGUUGAUUGUCAUUGUGAACAACCAUAUAAUUGCAACACGUGAAUACCAUCAAAGUUAUAAUAAUUCAUGGACCCAUGCAUCUGUAUUUCUAAUUAUUCCGUGUAGAAGGCUAAAGUUUAAACAAUAAUAUUGUUUUAAAUAUCUCAAUAACAACAUGUCCAACAAAUCAGUUUGACAUGACAUAAUUUUAGUCAUAACGACUUUGUUAUAACUGAAACAUUAUUGGGAAAUUAAUGAAGAGUACUAAAUGAAACAACGAUGAGAAAGCUUAAUUAAGCCAAACAAUUUUGAUUAUUAACUCUCUAGUCUCUCUUGCACCAUUCCAGUAAUCCUCUGAUCGAUCACACAAUCUAAUGCAUAAUCUAUUCAUUUAAUUAAUCAAUUUGAAUAUAUAUAUAUAAGUGGUGGGAUCUAGAUCUACUGCAUGAAUUUUAAAGGAACUAUAAAUUAUUUAACAAAAUCUUAUUUUAAAACGAUUGUGCGGGACACAGCACAUGGCAACCCGGGCUUUAUCUCUUUUCACUAUUCAUAUACGUAGUGGCAGACAUCGGUGGCCAAUUAAGGGAUGAACACAACCAACCACUCCACCAAGUAAAUCUUGACGCGUGUGCUUUUAUGUCCAAUUAUUCUACUGUCUUUUUCUAAUGACUUUUAUCGCAGAAGUAAUUAAUUCUGAAAGAAAUGAAGGAGCUAAUAAUGUCGUGAAAGUGCUGCCACAUUCUUCCAAUUCUUAUGCUGCAAGCAAAGCUCCAAUUUACAAAUAUUUCAUUUCAAAAUAAGUUAUUGUUAUUAUUAUCUUUCUAAAUACUUACUGGUCAAAUCCAAUCAUAGUUAUUAAUUUAUUAAGCCCACGACCUGAUAAAUAAUUUAUUAAAAGAACACCAUGUGUAAAAAUUUAAUGAUUGUAUAAAUAAUUCGGUAACAGAAUUCUUUUCACCCGUUAUUAAUUGCUUGCAGAUGACUUACUGAAAUUACAAAUACGUUAAACAUUGUUUGACUGUGAAGUGAUGAAAAAUCAAAUAAUCUUUACUAUUAGUUUUGCAAUAAUAAUAAACAACAAAUCAUAGUUACUUAUUUCUUAUUUAUUAUGCAUAAAUUGAUCUAUCCAGAGAUGGAUAUUUACAUAUUCUUCUAUUUCUAAUCAUUUUGAAAUUUAAUAGAAUUUUUUUUAAAAAAAAUCAAUUUGUAAUAACGUGUCAUAGAUAUUAAAAAAUGAAAAGAGAAAGUCAAAAUUGUAAUGCUCAAAAAAGACAACUUUUUUUUUUCUUUUUCACGGCAUAUAAAUAUGUUGUUACAGGUAAUGGAAAUUUAGGCAGCGCUUAUGUUACAUUUGCUGCAAGUAACGGCCCGACAAAAUGGAUAGUUGGAUUUGUCAAUUUUUAGAUCCAACGGCUGUAAAGAAAUUUAACACAAAAUCAGUUACAGGUAUAGGUGGUAAAAUGAUUAUUAUAAUAAAGGAUGGGCAACCUGCCAAUACGGUUUUGGAAUUAUGUACUUAAGGGGUUAUUCGAUAAUGAAAUUAUAGAGGGAAAAGAAGAAUUAUGAGCGGAUGCUCUGGGUACGCAAAAAAUUCAAGAGGCAAAAAGUACAGUAAUUAAGUUUUCAAAGAGGGGAAAAUAAGAGUAGCACCAAACGAUGUUAUCAAUUUCCUUGUUCAAUUUUGCAGAUUCACAAAUUGAUUGCGAGAUUACUACUUAAAUAUUUAACUUGUCUUGUUUCACUGGAUGGUGAGGCUUCUGCCACUGAUGAGGCAAAGAAGAGAAACCAUGUCUUGAGAAAGCUUGAGAAGCGUAAAAAAGAUCGCACGCUUGACCCACAUAUUGAAGAGCAGUUUGCUAGUGGUCGUUUGUUAGCUUGCCUCUCAUCUCCGCCUAGCCACUGUGGACGUGCUGAUGGGUAUGUGACCCCUUUUAUUGCUUUUUAGUUUUCAAGAUUUGCUGUAAGGCCCUAAAAAUGGAAGUAUUCAACAUACACCAUCAUACCUGGACUUUCAUGUUGUUGAGGCUGGAUAUAUAUAUCCGUUCCUUUCCCUUGCCUCGUAAUGGGUAUUGGACAAUUGGUAGAAGUCCUUUUUUUUUUUAUGGCAUUAAACACCUUAAGAUUUGCUUUGGAGACCAUCAAAGUUGUUCCUUGUUUUUGUUUAUUUCCAUGGUAGUUAUUGGAUAGAUACAGGAGAACAAGACAGUAUAAUGGUAAUAUUUGCUUUCUUUUUUCUUGCAUUGAUGGGCUUUUUCAUUUCCGACAGAUACAUCUUGGAGAAAGAGCUGGAAUUCUACAUAAAGAAGAUACAGGGGUGCUGGUGCUGCUUAAAUUUUUGUUUAUUGAAACUCCAUACUGGAAUUUCUAGUCUUGCCUUGUGUUCUUAUUUUUAGUCUUAAUUAAGUUAAGAGAGUUGAGAUGAUAUCAGCAGUUGAACCUGGAUUUCUCACUUGUGUUAUUGUUACAUUUUGUUUUUGAAUGUUACCAGUGCCUGUCUUAGAAUUUCUUCCGUUCCUCUACGUUUUUCAUGAUUCUGUCUGCGUGAUCAAUGAAUUUGGUAGUUAAUGCCUUAAUGGUUAUUGCUUAAGGUUGAUAUAUUAAUUCCAUACCGAAAAUGAACCUGGUAUAUCUACGCAUGUGCAAUACAAUAACACAACCAUUUUAGGCACUAGUUAUGGGCAAGGCCAUCCCUAAAUAUACAAAUAACUGGGUUAAUGUAUUUUGUUUGGAAUUAGUUUCAUGUAAAAAUUAUUUUCUAACAUCUUUUCUAUAACAUUAUUUUUGUUGGCCUGAAGUUUGUGUGAGAGGAUUCUCUCUACAUGGAAUCUAGUUUCUCGACCUUUUCCCAUUUGUGCACCAUAUGUUGUGGUAAUAGAUGAGCAAAAAUCACGAUCCGUGAAUUUGCUAUCACAAGAACAAUCAAAGUAUGUAUCGAGGAACCAAUAAAGUGUUGGCUCCACUGGCAAUGGAGUCCUCCUUAAGUGGCUUGACUGAGUUUGCUCCUCAGUUUGAGUCGCAAGAAAAUCGCCUUUGUUAGGAGAACCUGUGCCUCCCGGUUCGAGCGGAGACUUCUAAUUUGAGCUGUGGUACGGACUUAAAGGUGCCUUCCACAGUUGGGGCCCUCCCCAGAAUACCUCGUGGUUAAGACAAAAAAAAAAGUAUGUAUUGAGGAAGCUCAUGGGGAUGAACGAAAAGCAAGCCGUUGCAGCUUAUUGAAAUAACAAGCAACAGUAAUUGGUUACUGAAACAAGAACAUGUAUUUCAUAAUUAAUACACCAUUUCUCUCUUAGGGAAAGCACGAUACCAUUUCUCUCUUAAGGAAGCGCAAUUGCAAUUGCGAUCAUAUUUCGGUAACAAAAACCAAACCAUGCAUGAUAAGCAUAUGAUAAAAAGUAGAGAAACAGGGGCAGCUGCUAUGUCUAAGAGUCAUUUCAUCAUACAUAUGGAAGGCGAUUUAACUGCAACCUGAGGUAUCCGGUACAGUCAAGAAAUCAAACAUGGGUAAUCAAGUUUUAUAUCACAUAUAUACACUACCCUCACAUAAAUUACAUUUCUUUACUCUAAUAAUAAUAAUAAAAAAAAAAUCGAAUAACGAAACAAAUUAUAAAAUUUUCGAAACACUCCCUCACAUCUGAAACCGUAGCUCCCCGUCAUUUCUCUAUGUAGUAAUAGUAGGCAGAACUCUGAAAUAAUUUGUUUUUUCCCCCAUUUUUUCAGCUUUUAUUCAAUAAUUUCCGUUAUAAAAUUGUUUGAAUAUUUCACAGAUUAAGUUUCAGAGGGGAGCUAUUGCUUCCUUCAAUAAACGGAUAAUGAGAUUAUGGAUUCUAAAGUGUUGAAAGCCAUAUAAUUUUUUUUUUAAUUUCAAAUUUUCUUUUUCUUUUCGAAAUUUUCAGUGAUAUGCUUAUCUAAUCUUCAACCGGCUAUUAUCAGGAAUGGAUAGGAUUGACUCUACCGUUGACACAUUUUGCAACUGGUUUCAACAUGUUUUUCAUACUGCCCCUUACUGACACGUGCUUCUCUUAUGUGAGUCAAUUGAUCACCUCACUUAUGUUACUUACACCAAAUGUAACAUAAGCUUACCCUGGAAUUUAUACCCCACAAAGGGAAUUUUCUUCCACAAAUGAUAUGAGAAUGUCGGGUGAAACAUGUGAAUGGGAAACUGCCUUACGAUUGCAGCAUGUGAACACUUGAAUUUCUUUUUGACAGAGCACAAUGAUAACUUACAGGUACUGCAAUAUUGCAUGAAGAUUCCUGGAAGUAGCCUGCAGCUCAAAUUAAUAAUUUUCUUUUGAACAAAACCAACCAACAAUAAUUUUCAAACCUGGAAGAUACUCAUUAAAAGAUGGAUCUUCAUCAUUUUUUUCCUCCCCACAACCCACCCACUAAAAACUUUAUUCAUUUAGUGUAACUUUUUAGUUUUGUUAGAAGAUACUUAGAACUGCCGAUAUCUUCCAAUUAUUGUUUUAAAAAUCUCAGUUGGCAUGCCCAAUUAACAAAUCAAUAGUCUUUGUUCGACAUAUUUAAAACAAAAAACAAAAAAAUCACACAUUGGUUUGAUGAGAGAUGAAAAGAAAAAGGAACACACUUACGAUCAUCAUUGCAGACGAUAUACACCAAGUAAAUCUUGAGACGUGCUUUUUCUAAUUAGCCAACUUUUUUUUUUAGGGAUAAAAAGAGACCGUCUCUUUUUCUUUUUCUUUUUUUCAUUAUUCAUAGUGGGAGACAAUGGUGGGGGCCUAGGGAUGAAAGUAAAAUUAAAAAUUAAACGUGAAUUAUGUGGUAAAAGUAUUUAAAUUAGAUAGUUGUAAGUUAAAAGUUAUAAUAUUAAAGUGUUUGGUUAACAUUAGUUGUUGUAACUUAAAAUAUAUAUUUAUAUAAUUUUUCAGCUGUAUAAUAAAAAAUUUAUUAUAUUUUUAAUAAUUUUAUUAAAAUUAUUAUUUAAAAUUUAUAUUCAUUAUAUUAUGAAGUUUUAUUUUAUAAUUACAUAUUAUGGGAUGUAAAGGAGUUUGGGAGCUGUAGCCUUUAGUUGGCUUAGGGAGAUGUUAAAGUUUUGAGAAAUGCUUAGAAAUUUAUUUUAUAAUUUGUUUUAAAGUUUAUUUUAUAAUUUAUUUAUAACGUAUAUAAUACGCUCUCAAUUUUAUUACUAUAAAGUUGAAUCUAUUUUAUUUACUUUAUAAUUUUUUUAUUCGGGUUCACUGACCGUGUACUCCAGCUAGAUUCUAAAAACAAAAAAUGAAAAUAUAGUCUAGAGAAAUAACAUCGAACAGACUCUUAACUUAUCAUCUUCACAUCAUCAUUUUGAAUUUCUUUAAUUAAUUCUUUUCAUUUUACUCUUCAAUAAUAAAUGUCACUUCAACUCGUGUGUGUACAUAAUAUAGGAUAGAAAAAUAAUGUCGAACAAACUCUAACAUAUCAUCUUCGAAUCAUCUUUUUGAAUUUCUUUAAUUAAUUCUUUUCAUUUUACUCUUCAUUAAUAAAUGUCACUUCAACUCGUGUGUGUAUAUAUUCAUACUAUAGAAAUUAAAAGUUUGAGUUUACUAUUGUAGAUGAAGUUAUGUUUUAAUUAUUAUUACUAUUACUAUUAAUUAAUUUAUAUUAUUAUUAUUUUUUGUUAAGUUAUUAUCAUUAACUAUUACCUCUGAUUUAUUAUUGUAUUAUUAACCACAACAAAUAAAUAAUAAUAAUAAUUUAUUUGAGGACAAAAGUAAAAUUAUGAAAUUUAUAAGGUGGUAAAAUAGAGAGUUCAAGGAAUAGAAACUUAAUUUCCUAUCCCCUCAUAGAAAUCAAGUUUAUGUUCUUUAAUUCCCAAAAACACGAGCCCUAUAUGUUUCAUUCCCAUUUCUAUCUAUAUUUAAGUAAGUAAACAUCAUCAAUCAUUUUCGUUUUGAAUUAUGAUUUUUCAAUCCAAAAAGUAGAUGCCAGUAAAAGAGAGAGUUAAACUUGACUCACCCGCUUUUCUAAUUGUUCUGAUUUGUUGUAUAAUUUAUUCUAAAGUUAUUUUAUAAUUUAUCUAAAACGUAUAUAACACGUUCUCAAUUUUAUUACUAUAAACUUACGCUGUAUUGUCUAGUCUUAGUAAGUAACGACUCAAUUGGAUGUGGGAGGAUCCCUUCCGCUUUGACCAAAAAAACUGUUUCGAGGACAGUAUUCUAACUCAACUCAAGUGCGGAACAAAGAAAGAAACGCUAAGAACGUUAAUGAAAGUUAACAUACAGAGCAAACUAGUCAAGAGCACACACAAGAGGAGAAAUAAUUAACACUAUUAUUUUACAUGGUUGAGUUUCUCUAAGCCCACGUCCACGAAGACAGACACUUGGCUACAUGCAUGCAUGCUUUAUUAAUUGACCAAGGAAUUUACAAGGAAACUCUCUUUUCCAGAAGUUACAAGAGCCCUGACACUAUUCCUCUCGAGGUCUAGUUCAAGUCGCCCAAGCCUCUCAAGCUCCCUUAAGAACUCUGCUUUCUUGCUGUUCAAGAAAGCGCCUGAUUGGAAUCACAUGCUCCACGUGACAUCUGGCAUAACAAAAUCUGCUGCCGUACCCGGCCAAUUUAUGAUGCCACUUAUGAUACCCUUUCACGUCAGCUUCCCUUGCCCUGCGUCAUCAUAGGACCUUACAUCUUGGAACCUACAUGAAACCUGAAUCUCUAACAGCCCAUCAUAAAAGAUAUUAGUUUUAAAAUAUGGAAAUUACCAAAAAUACCUGCGCAUUUUGAAAUUUGUCAAAAAAUGAAGAGUAGAAAGCAAUAGGAAAACGUAAUUAACCAACCAAUUUGAUUCCUCUGAUCGCUUUCAUCUCAGGACUCUUUGUCUUCCCGUGCGUCUUCGAUUCCACAGGACAAUCUUGGAUUGAAUUUAUACAUCAGAAGAAAAUAUCAGUAUGCCCAAAAUAAAAAAAGGUGUCAUAUAGAAGUAUUCUGUCGCAGACUUAACAUAUCUAUCAAGUAAGUAAUUAAUAAUUCCUAGUUUUAAAAGUAGAGCAAUUGGAUAUCAAGUCCGUAAAUUCAAGAUAUAAUAACUCUUGACAAUUAUAUAUUCAUAUGCAUGUUAGUAGCAUGAUGCUACCAAUAUUCGCACCUUUAGCAUUCAAACACUUGAUCAUUGAAAGAAUUUAAGAAAAAUGUUGUUUGGUUACUGAGAAAAUAUCUCAACAAAAUUUUCAGAGAACUUUCCGGAAUUCUUGCCUUUAUUUCACUUAAUGAAAAAUGUUACAAUUACAUUCAAUUUAUAUUCGAUGCUUUAGCAUUACUAUAACUAACUCAGAACAUACUACACAUGCUUAACUACAGCUCAAUAGAUACAGAGUAAGUCAUAACAAACUUUUAACUACUUAUGCUGAGGUGGCAACUGAGCUGUUAUUCCGCUUAAUCAUCUGACGUCACCAACUUGUUGGUUUUCCUCAGCUCGAGCGUCUUCUUCCUUUCUGUACAAUGAGCUUCUUUAACAACCACUGAAGCAGCCUUUCUCACCAACCUAGCUCCGACAUUAAUCUAUAGAGUUAUCAAGACCGACAUUCGAUGACGUAAUCACAUAAAGUUGCGCUUAUGCCUACAAAAUGGCUGAAUAACUAACCAAUUCGAUUCCUUAUUGCACCAUUCCUGAAUCCUGUCCUCUGAUACUGUAGGCCUCUUCCCGUCUUCCAUAUCGCAAGACACUUCACCUAGCCCAAAACAUACCGUUCUUGGCUUGAAAAUGGAAAGUCUCGUGCAGUGCAGAAAUCAGAGGAAUUAACCCACUUAUGACCAUCGUGUGUGUAUAUAGUAGACGAUGUAAUUAGAUAUCUAAUGAGUGUUUAAGAUAUUACAGAUUAAAAUGUUGCAUACUCUGGACAUUAACAUAACAUAAAAUUUGAUCCACAAUUUACUCAAUUUCUGAGUUAGCUUACCAAAAGUAUUGUAGCAGAAAUAACCAAAUCAACCCAGGUCCUUAUAUGGAGCCCCUGCGCGUCAAUUAAAGUAAAAGCUCGAUCCUCUGUUAUCCGAAAUGGUCAAACAAACAUUAAACCAAAAUGUUGAAGUCUCUUUCUUUUGCAAUUCUAGCUCUAACUGAUGAGAUUGAUCGAAAAGAAUAACCAACAUUAAGAUUAAUUUUUAUUUCCAUUUCUAGGAAAUGGAGAAUUAAAUGGAAUUCUCUCAGUAAAGCUCACCAAUAUCUGUCUCCGUCAUCACAUAGAUAUAUCAGACUAGCUAUCUAAUCCUUUUAUUUUAUUUUUUUCCUUUUUCAUUCAACAGCUUCAGCAUAUAACAAGAAAGCUUGGGCUCCUACAAUGUUUAGGCCUCAUCACGAUUAAGUACUCGUACGGUGGCGCAAGUAGCAGGCCUGGCGCCACUCUGGAUCUGCUAGAGAAAAAAAUUUUACACAUGCGCCCUGAAAAUCUGUUACAUAAAUUAUGUCCUAAUAAUCAGCAAUAAUUCAAAGAUGCGGAUAAAAAAAACACUAUAAUGUACAAACAUACACCUUGUUUAUAUUUUUUGUAUCACAUGAGACAUAAACUCCUCAAGAGUCAAGUCCGACAUUUAAUUCAACCCAUAAACUUGUGCUUGUAGCCCGCAUAAAUGGUUAAACAAAUAUUAUAUUUUCGACUUGAAGAUUGGAUUACAAAUAUAUAAUAGGAAAGUAAAAUGGAGGAGGAGAAAGAAAUUACCUGUAGUAGUUGAGAAAUUACUGCCAAAAAUAAACUUACCCGUAGGAAUUUUAUUUGGUUAGUAAUUGAGAAAGAAAUUACCUUAGGUGAUGACUGAAAGGAAUUUAGAUCUAUCAAAAAUAGAUGUAAGCAAUUAAAAACUAAAAAUUAAUUACUUAAUUAAUUUUUUCAGAAGUGCUGUUCAUUGUUACUGUUUACGGUUCUGUUCACCACAACUGUUUACAGUUACUUUACAAUUAUUGUUUAUCCACAUAAAAAAUAUUAAUUUUCCAAAAACACAAUAAAAUGCCGAAAAUAAAUUAUACAGAAAUUUUUACGUGGUUCGUAUUAAUCAAUCCUACAUCCACGUGGGCACGCCAAGAUGAAAAACAAUCACUAAGUUGAGAUGUUACAACUUAUGGAUUUACCAAACUUAAGACUCUCACUUACAGUUUAUCACCAUACAGUUUACUCAACCUUAGACUGAAUCUGCUUCUCUUAAAUAAUUGCUACCCCUCUUGAUCCACGAUCCUCAAGGCACUUUGCAAAGUGAUCAAUAGCAAUUCUUCAAUUCUUCAACGUCUAGUGAUCCAAGAUUGACAUAGAGUCUCAACAGAGAUAAAAAGAAGAUAAUAAAACAAAUCAACACAACAUGGUGCGCCAAAUUCGGAUUCUCUGGGGAGGAGGCCGAAUUUUGUUUCUCUACUUUAUACUUUGUGUUGUGCCUGUCUUCAAUUGUGAAAUACCUCUAUUUAUAUAGGCAAUAGGGUUUCACCAAAAUAGCAAGUUUGAAAAAACUUAGAUACUUUCCAAAUAAGAGUUUGUUUCCUCUUAUAAUUCCUAUGAAUCUGAAUAGGAAUAAAUAUGAUCUUCUUGCAUUACUUGUCUCCGAAGAAAUAUCUAGAGCAUUUAAUGACUUCUUGUUUGAACCAACUUCUUGCUCUAAAUAGAUCUCAUGCACUAAUAAUAGAAUCCCACCAUUAAUUGACUUGCUAAAAUAGACAUUUAAUUAAAUUAGGAAACAAAUAUUCCUAAUAAAUUGGAAUCUCACUAAAUUAGGAAAUUAAUAAAUUAAUCCCUAUUACAAGAUAUGCAAUAAAUAAACUUCCAAUUUAACUAGAACUUAACAAUGGUGACGGUACUCGUUUUAAAAAUCCUCAAGGUUCGAAUUUGACAUAUUGGUGAUUGAUUAGGAUGCUGGGAAUGUGGCAUAUCUUGGGGCAGUCCUCUCCUGUUUCCUUUAUGUGAUGCUCUUCUAAAACAGAACACGAACUAAUACCUGAAUCCUGCAGUGUUGUUUGUUGUGCGCAGAAUGCGAAAUCAAACGCACCAAAUAAUCAUAGAAAAAUAAAGGACACAAAAUUUAACUCAGAUACUAUCUAUGAAUAAUAUAACUCAGUACCUCACUUCAUGCAAGCUUUGAUAUAUUAUUCCUUCUAUCUAUUUAUCCACUGCUAAUUGUUUUAUAAAAAAUUUGGUGCACUGAAGUGAACCCAAUAACUCCUAGCUAGAAGCAACAAUGUCCAAUUAAGCCGCUGAUACAAUCAAUCAAACAAUAAGGAAAGGAUCAACAACACAAAAAGCACACGCAAGGCACAAAGAUUUACAUGAUAUAUCCACAGGUGGCGAUGCUGGUAUCCACUAUACGUGUGAUGAAAACAAGUGUAUAUAUAUAAAGAACACCACCUGUCUCCUCACAAUAAGCCCCUAGAAUACAAGCGCAAAUAAAAAUAAGCCCAUUCCUGCUCUGCUCUGCCCUCAUGUACGUAACUCCUCUGCUAAGAAAUAUUGCCUUAAAAUAUCCGUAGCAUAUGCAUGGAUGACCAGCAAAUCAGUUAAGACAUAUAAAAUUACCAUCCACACAGGAAAUCAGCAAAUCAGUGGUUUCAGGAAUUUGUAAUUGAACAUCAGAAUAUGAAGGGUACAGAGCAAUGGGAAAAAGUAAUUAACUAACCAAAGAAUUUAAAAUCCAAAUAAGAUAAUUAACGUAUGAAAGCUGGGUUGAAGCCCACCUUAGAGCCCCUGUCUAUGAAGGCCAAUAAAUCUCCUGUUAUCUGUUUGCUUAGAUCUUUAUGUAUUCCUAUACACUUUUUACUCUACUCUGUUGUUCAACCUUCCUUGGCUUUAUGUAUCUAUUUUAUGUGUAUUGAGAAGGCUAGUUACUAGGUGUCAACUCUUCUCUUUAAAAGAUAAAGUUUUGAGAAAAGGAAAGAAAGACACCCACUGCCAGCUACCUUGUCAUAUGUUGCAUACCAAAAUUGGAUAUUAAUUAUGGUCACUGUAUUCAACCUGCUAACCAAAUUCAAAAAAAUUAGUCUUCCCGAUUGAGUAAGUGAGCCCUGAAAAGACAUUACCCAGCUUAAAAGCCAAAUGAAUGUAGACUUGUGAUUGGUGUAAUUGGUUUUAAAGAAAUUAGUAUGCAUCCCCACUGAAAGCCAGUAAAUAGAGUUGAAGAAGAUGCUAAUGUGCCACAGCUAACAUAAGCAUAAUUUGAUCAGCCGAAUGACUACCAAAUGAAAAAGCAACAUAAACUUAACAGAACUGUUAGGAUUAAUCGAAGACACAUAUAUUUGUGCCAAUUUUCACACCUUUAGCAUUCAAACCUUGCUCUAGAACAACUGCUGUGGUCCGAUGCUGCAGGCAAAAAAUUUGACCUACGAAGCAGCCUCACUCACCAACCUAGCCCCAAAUAAAUUUUUUGAAAUGCCUUGAAAACCUUAACAUUAUAUCCAAAUAAACAUAACUUGUGUUUGUGACGUAAUGAGAUUGCAGUGCAUUCGUAGAGUGUACACUUAUCUGCCAUUUCGGAACAAUUUUUUUUUACUUCUCUUAAAAUUUGCAUAAGAAAUAGCAAUAUGGACAAGUACCUACUUAUGAAAGUGUUAAGAUAUUUUUACAUUUCUUCUUUUUCUUUCAAGGAGUAAAAGUAAUUAUUCAUUUUGUUGAUGCCCAUUUACUCUAUAAAUGCCAUCAUGACCACUGAGAUAUGUUCAUGAAUAAGCAUCUACCAUCAGAUCGAUUCGAAAACGGAAAGGAAUAGAGAAAUAAAAGGUGAAACAAAUGAAAUAAUUAAGGAGAGGAACGAGAUUCUGUUGUCUGGUUAUAACUGGAAAUCAAGCAUGAAAAAGGAAUUGAUUUUUCUUUUUUGGUUGACAGAAUACACUUUCAACUAUAAGAAAAAAAAGAAAAUUUGAAUUUGAUAUUUAACAGAAAAUUCAAAUAAAAUCAAAUUCAUUUGUAAUUUAAGUUCAUUUCAUUCUUAAAAUUUGACAUAUAGAAUAAAAUUUAUAACUGUUUCAAAUACAAAAACAUAUUAAUAUUCAAAAUAAUAAAAUUUUCAUGGCAAAAAGUUAAAAAUAAAAAAUAAAACGGUUUGAUGGAGAAUGGAAUUGAGCAGGGAAAGUUUGAUGGAAGAUGCACACACCAGUUGUGGAAUUAUACUGUUAGUCAUUUUAUUAAAAAAAUAAAAUAAAAAUAAAAAUCACCUCGUUGAAAGAUUAUUUGCUACGAUUAAAAAUUUUAUUUGGUGAGCAAAACGACGUACGGUCCUCAAAAACCUCAUGAUGAUGCAUGUAUAUUCUAAGCUUCAUGACAUCAUAAUAAAAAUGUUUUGCGAAGGUAACUGGAAAUUUGUUUUAUUCAAUGAAUGGUACAUUUACUGGUAUGUUUAAUAGUUUGUGGGUAAUUGUUUAUUUUCUUUUGGUUGAAAAUUUUGCCAUCUCACAAACUAACAACUAAAUUUGACUCCUUUUUAUAUAAAUUUUAUAGGCCCGCCGAUUCACCAAUUUUAUUUUAUAAUCCUUGUAUGUUUGUUAUCUUUAAAUUAUGACCCCAAGUACCAAAAUUCCAAUAUCACGGUCUUUUAUAAGGUUUGGUUAUGAUAAUUAAUUAAUACGAUAAAUACAAACAAGGCACAAAUUAAAAUUUAUAUGGUUCGGCAUAUUAAUUAAUAUGCCUACAUCCACGGAUGGUGAUACCGAAAAUCCACCACAUGAUGAAAAAGUGUACAAACAAUAAUGAAAAUAUUGCUUUCCCAACAAAUUAAUCAGUUAGACGAAUAUAUCCUAAUUAUAAUGGUUUUAUGACAUACAUACAUAUCAAAUUCAUGACUUGUAUUUUGCACUGUUGCAGAGCAAUGAGCAGGCUACAAUACGUUCACUUGUUGAACUCGACCCUCAGAGCGACGGAGAGGACCAUUUGCUGUAUCCUCGAAGACUACCAGAAGGAGGAUGGUGUGUGUGGAAGUACCAGAAGUUCUACAAUAUUGGAAAUGGUUCAGCCGUGAUCAUUGGGAAAAUUAAAAAACCGAAUAAGUAAUAUAAUAAUUAUAAAACCAGUCGGUUCGAUUUUUUAUUUUAAAAAAAUUAAAAAACUGAACCGAUUAUCAAAUAAACCGAAUAACAACCGGAAUCCCUAAAGUGAAUAAAGUCUAAACACUCUAAACUAAAUUGUGACCACUUCUUCUGAGUUCUGAUCAUCAACCUAAAUCGUGACCACUUCUGAGUUCUGAUCUUCAGCUGAAACUGAAAUCGUGACCUUCAGCCGCUGAAGUCUCGUCCCCGUUGCUCGUCGCCGCCACUGCUCGUCGCUGCUGCUUAUCGCUGCUGCUCGUCGCUGCUGCCCAUCGUUGUUGCUCGUCGCCGAGUCUCCGCCACUGUUACCACGUGCUGCAGCCGCUGUCAGCUGCUGCUGCUGCCACUGUCACCAACAACUCUCAGCAGAACAAGGUUUUAUGAAUUUAAAAAGCUAUAGCUAUAAUAUUUUGUUAUCAUUGGGGCCAUAUAAAUUCGUGAGAAUCCCAGAAAUUGCAUUGAAUUUUUACUGAAUCUGAUAAGCCCGGCAUAUCUUAAUCCCAGCUAUUUUGGCUAUAGCGUACCAUUCAUUCGUUAGCUCCAAGGGCCCAUCAACAGGCGUUUUCGGGAAUCGGCUGCGGGGCGAAUUUGGGGUAAAUGCAAGAGGAUAAAAAAAAGCUAUAGCCAAAAUAGCCAAGAGGAUCCCAAGGGCCCCGUCAAUAAGAAUUUGCAGACUUGCAUAAAUAAAUUAUGUAUGAUGCUAUAAAUGAUGCCCAUUAGCCAGACUUGCAUUCUCAGCAAUUCUUCUCCAUUUCUUAAUCCUUUUAUCCAUAUGCUUUGUUAAUGCACAAUACUGUUGAAUAAACUUUGUAUUCCUUUUAUCAGUUUGUUUGAGAUUAAAAUUGGAGGUAAUAAAAUGUUGUUUUGAUUUCAAUUGAGAUGUAUUUAGCUUGAAACAUUGACUUCAUGAAACUAAUUUUGACACUUGAUUUUCUGAUCGAAUUUAUGAUUAUAAUUGGUGAGGAUGAUUUGAAUUUAAUUGCAUGCCAUCAGCCAGGCCAGUGUUGGAAUGUCAUAAUAUUUUUUAUUUGUAAUCCCCAAGAUUUUUUAUUUGUUGCUUCUGUUGUAUUGAUUUGUUGUUGUAGAAUGGAAAACUAUGAUGAGGAGGAAGUGCAAGAGGUGGAGGUUGAUGAUGUGAAAAAAAGAAAAAUACUUUGAGACAUAUUGUGAUUUUUUGUUUGUUAACUUUUUAUGUUUGUGGUAGAUUUAUUAAUUUAAGGUUUUAAAUUUAAAAAAAUCCAAAAUAGGCCCAAUAGGCCUAUAAUCGAAAUAAUCGAACCGAACCGAAUCGAAUUAUUUCAAUUAAUCGAGUAUUUGAUUAUUUCGAUAAUUCGAUUAAUCGCGAUUAUAAUUUUAAAAUAAUUGUAAUCAAACGAUAAUGAAAAGUUUAGUAAAAACCCGAACCGAACCGCGCCCAUCCCUAGCCACCAGAGCUUUAGUUCAGUGAUUUUCUCAAUACGACGUACGGUCCUCAGAACCUUAUCAUGAUGCUUGUAUAGUCUAAGCUUCAUGACAUCAUAUUAAACAGUGUUGGCUUUAACCAAUUGGGGGCCUUAGCCGAAAUUUCAUUUUAGGCAUUCUAAUGUUAAAAUAUCAACUAUCACAAGAAUAUUAAAUAGCUAAAAAAACUCUCACAACAACAUCAAGUAGCUCAAAAUUCAACAAUAUCUUGAAUUACAACAAUUAUUAACAAGAUCUAAAAAAAACAAAAAAUAAUAGUUGGAAAGAUAUCUAUUUCUUUCCACAUGAAUAUUAACUAACUUUGUCUUCCACAAAAUCCAGCUCCUUAAGAUGCUCUAAAACUUCUUCAGCCAUAACCAUAAUCAUCUCGUGAACUUUAUAUCAUUGCUCCUACCUAAUAUGAUCCUAAUCCAUAUUUUCUAGUUGACAUGCUUUUCAAAUUAAAAAAAAAAUAAACAAACAAUUUUUUUUUCUAGAUUAUUCAAGCCAAAAUCAAUACAAAAAAUAAAAAAAUAAAUUAAAUUUAAAAAGGAUAAGAACAGUAAUAAAAAAAUGGAAAAAAAUAGAAUGAUAGCACCUAUAAUUGAGUCAAUUGACUAGUUGAGAUGAGGAUGAUGAUGGCAAUGAAUUUUGUAGAGAAAGAGAAGAGAGCACAAAAACUUUUUGUUGAAAGUAGCUUUGAUUCAAUGUGUAUCGGUUUAUAGAUAAUGAGUUUUUAAAUAUAUUUUAAUAGAAUACUAAAAGUUAGCUCUAAAAAUCCAACGUUACUAAUUUUAAUAAGAGCUCUUUUUGGAAAGGGAAAGCAUUCAUUUGUUUUUUGGGAAAAUAGUAAAAGAAAAUAAAGAAGUAAUGUUAAAAAUAAUUAUUAUACCAUACAAAUAUAUUUUAUAUUUAAGGUAAAGAUUAUUAAAUAGGAGAGACAAUUAUGAAUGAGAGUAAUGAUAGGGUAAAGACUAAAAAUUAGUUUUUUUUAAUUGUAUAAAAAAAAUAUACGUAACUUAAUUUUUUAAUCUUAAAAAAAUUAAUUAUAUUGAUUAAUAAAUAGAUACCAAAAAAUUAAGGUCUUCCUAAAUACGAGGCCCUAGGCAACUGCCUAGUUUGCCUAGUCCUAAAGCCGUCACUGAUAUUAAAAUCAUAUUGCUAAGGUAAUUAGAAAUUUGUUUUAUCCAAUGAAUGUUACAUUUACUGGCAUGUUUAAUAUUUUGCUUUGGUUAAAAAUUUUGCUAUCUAACAGCUAAUAACUGAAUUUGACUCAUUUUUAUGUAAAUUUUAUAGACCCACCAAUUCACCAUUUUUUAUGUUAUGAUCAUUGUAGGCAUGUUAUUUUUUAAAUUAUGAUUCCAUGUGAAAUCAAAAUUUAAAUUUCACCAUCUUUUAUAAGAUUUGAUUAUAAUAAUCAAAUAACACAAUAAACAAACACAAGGCAAAAAAAUUUACGCGAGUUGACAUAUUAAUUAAUAUGCCUACAUCCACGGGUGGUGAUACUAAUAAGCCACUAUAUAAUGAAAAAGUGUACAAAUAACAAUAAGCUCUCAGAUGAGCACAAAAAAAGAAAAAGAAAAAGAAAAAAGAAACACCAAUCUCAACACUCAAAAACAAUCAAUCCCCAGCAGUUUGGCCUCACAAGAGCUCUCUCUGCGUUGUGCUUUCCCUCGUUCAUUCUCUUUACAAAUACAAGGCUCGCAAAAAUACAAAACGAAUUACUGAAAACAUACAUAACAGAUUAAAAAAGCACGCGCCGCGCCCGUCCCCCAAUUCCUGCUCUGCGACGCCAUUUCGUAAUUCCUUUUUGGCUGAAAAAUUAAUAUCGCUUUCCCCAACAAAAAAACAAAUGAAUCAGUUAGACAAAUAUAUCUAAUUUUAAUGGACAUUGUUAAAUUAAUGAAGAAGAGUAGAGAGAGAGCAAACGAGAAGGAAAGCGUAUACAAAUUAUAAUUACUAACCAGAGUUAUUAGCACCAUUACAUAUAUAUAUCCCUGCUGAAUCCCCUCCUCUGUUCACCAUUAGUUUCUAAAAUGGAUUAAAAAAUAACUACUAAUUAAUUUUAAUUAAAAUAGAGUGAGACACGCAAUGCAUGCAGGAGAUCUAGAAAUAAAUUACCCGUGGCGGUGGCCGUGGGUGAUUGUAAUUGACUAAUUGCAGCCGCGCACUUCACUCAAUCUCGAUGUUGGGAAUGUGGCGUAUCUUAGGCCAGUCCUCUCCUGUCUCCUCUCUGUAACGUUCUUCUAAAAUAUAACACCGCCUAAUAUACAAUUCCUGGAGCGUUGUCUUCUGAAGAAGGUGAUCGGGCAGUGCUUUUAAUUUAGGGCAACUCGAAAUAGUCAAGGAAGAAAGACGUGGCAUGAUUAUGAUUUCUUCCUUUAUUGCAGUCCCGAGAUCCCACUCUUCCAGUUCUUCCAUAUAACGAAAUCUGAGCAGUUUCAAUUUGGGAAAGGCAAUAACUGAGCAGCCAUCCGUAUCACCUUCUACUCCCAGAAAUUCAUUACCCACUCUUUUCACAUUUUCCAUUCCUAAAAUAUGAAGAGAUUCAAGGGAUGGCAAUUUUCCCAAAGGAGGCAAAUGCUCACAAUUUCUCCACCCGAAGAGAAAUAAAACCGUUAAAUUGGUUAACGACAUGAACCAAUUUAUGGGGACAACAUUCCUCCUCCCUCUGUAUUCGUCUAUCCGUAAUUUCUUUAAAUUAGGAGAUGGUCCCAAGGCUUCAAGAAGCCGUUCAUCUUCAUCCUCCUCAUUCUCCCUCCUCCCAGCUCGUUCUUCAUCUCCAUCUCUUGAAUGACCAAAAUGAAGUCCCAAUUUUAAGAGAUUUUUCUUUUUCUCAAGUUCAGCCCUUCUAGCCUCCCCCGCAUCUGACACAUCACCCAGCCCACGUAUCCUGCAGUCUCGAAGGAGGUUAAGCUUUUUAAGAGACCCAAGGCUACAUGCUCUGUCAUACCCUCCACCCACAACAAAAUCUCUCACCCUCCGAAGCCUGAUUAAUUCCCCAAUCCCUGCCGGCAAGUAUCUUAAAGAAUCAGUCCCCUCAUUGUGUAAAUACAUCAGCUUUCUUAACUUCCCUAUCCCUCGAGGUAAUUCUCUAAGUUUUACACAACAACUAACAUCUAAACGUUCUAACUUAUAUAACUCACACAUGGUCUCAGGUAAUUUUUCUAUCUUCUUUAUACCUUUCAAAUUAAGGUAUUUCAAAUGUAACAAUUUUUCUAUAUUUGUUGGAAUUUCCUUGAUGUAAUUCACACAUGACCACCUAUCACGAUUUAAUUUUAAUGCCCUUAAACAAGUUAAUUUAUCAAAUAAUUGAGGUAGGACUUUGCUAGACCAUGAAUGUUCAUCACUUUCAACUAAGAGGCUACGCAAUCGUCGCAAUCGUUUAACAUUACCCCAAAUGGAGAUCGGAACCGAAGCCCCUCUAUAUAAAGUUAACAUUAAAUGAAGGAUUUUUUUCUCCCCAAAAGAGCUCAUAGCUGACUCUUCACCACCAUGAAUUUCUAUUGUUGAACACUCAUUACUACAUAAGUAUUGAGCAAAGUCAUGCACUAUAUCGUGCAUUUUGCAAGUAGAGAUUUCACCAUCAUCAUCUUUUUUAAAAUCCUGAAAGAAUGAAUGGCUAGCUAAGAUGUUGAAAUACUCUUCACCAAUAUCCUCCAUCUCUUUGGCCCCUUUCUCACUAAGAUAACCUUGUGCCAUCCAUAGGUUAAUUAACUCUUUUUUUUGUAUGCCGUAGUCUUUUGGAAAGACGGCACAAUAAGUGAAACAUUGUUUAACCUUAGAGGGCAAUUCAUUGUAACUCAACAAUAGAGGGGUCAAAAGGCCUCUCUCAACCUCUUCUAGUUCCCAUAUCUCACUCUCUAAGAUAUUUUGCCAUUCUUUUUCAGUGUUUCUAGACUGCAGGAGACUAGCAAUCGUCUUUGCAGCUAAAGGUAAGCCCUUGCACUUGCUUACAAUUUGUCGGCCAAUAUUUUCUAAUUUUUCACAUUCCUCCUUGGACCUGUCGAAAAAUGCUAACUGCUCAAACACUGACCAGCAUUCUAUUUCAGACAAUACAUUGACAGAGGUAACAUUGGUUGAUCUGAUACAACGGGCAACUCUAUCCUUACGCGUGGUAAUCAAAAUUUUACUUCCAUGGAGACCAUUCUUUAAACAUUUGUAGAAUGGUUCCCACUUAUAGUAAUCUUCGUUCCACACGUCGUCUAAGACAAGAAGAAAUUUCUUCCCUUCAACCCAUUCUUGAAUGUGUUGCAUGAGAGAUUGAAACUCUACAAGGUCUUUGGCGGAACCUGGUUUCAGAGCCUCAAUGAGUGCUCUAGCGAUUCUGAACUCAUCAAAAGGAUCUGACACACAGACCCAUAUUCUUUCAUCAAAAUGUUUUUUAACAUCACCGUUGUUGUAGGCAAAUUGAGCAAGAGUUGUUUUGCCUAUGCCCCCCAUCCCAACAAGUGAGAUGAUACAAGGGCCUUUCUGUUCCUUACUGUUAAGGAAGCACACAUCAGUAGCAUAGACUGUAAAGCAGAGGAUAGCAGCAGCUCCAGCUUACAGUUAAGAGUUGAUGACAUGGCAUGCCAGCUGGCACCUGGUGGUUAUGUAAUCACUUGUUCACGUGAUAAUUAGUUGAAGUUGUUAUAGCUAGCUAGAAUUAGUUUUGUAAUGAGUUAACUAAUUGAGCUUAGCAUCAGUUGUGUAUAUAAGCAUCUCUGUGUACAGUUUCAUAAGUAAGUUUUAGAUGAAUAAAAUCGUGUGAGCAAAAAGCUUUCAGUUCUUAAAUUUUCUCAGCUUCCAAACAUCCUUUUUCUGAUUUCUUACUUGGUAUCAGAGCUUUAAUGGCAUCUGUGAAUCUUGCCUCUUCCUUAAAUCAAGUUCAUAAUACCGCUGCACAUUCAACAACAGUCAAUUUCACUUUCAAUACUCCCGUUAAACUUGAUCAAUCAAACUAUUUGAUCUGGAGAUCUCAAGUGCUUGCUUCAAUUUGAGGAAAUAGACUUGAGAAAUUUAUCGAUGAGUCAAUCACUCCACCUCCUUCUCAUAUUGCUCAUAGAUAUGAUGAUGAGCUUAGAUCUGUGGAGAAUCCAGAAUUUGCAACCUGGAGAGCACAAGAUCAAAUACUUCUCGGUUGGCUUCUUUCAUCCAUGAGUGAAGGUAUCAUCAGUUUGGUGUUCAAUCUUGAGACUUCAUUGGAGGUAUGGAAAGCUGUUGAAACUCAAUUUGGAUCUCAAUCAAAGUCUAGGUUAUUACAUUUGAGAUAUUUGAUGAAUUCCACUAGAAAGGAUGAUCUUAAAAUGACUGAAUACUUCAUUAAAAUGAAAUCUAUUGCUGAUAACAUGGCUGCAGCAGGAAGUGCAUUAAGCAAUGAUGAUUUGAUUUUACAUGUACUCUCUGGUCUAGGUCCUGAUUAUAAUUCUGUUGCUACUUACAUCACUGGACAAGUAGGAACUGGAAAAAUGAAUGUUAAUGAGGCUUAUGCUAUGCUGUUAACUCAAGAGGCUAGGAUUGAUCAACAAACUCAUAUGCUUGCUAAUAUGGAUGUUAAACACAAUUUAGAAGCUAACUUUGCACAAAAUAGAGGACCUAAGAGAGGAAACUUCUCAGGAGGAAAAGGUUUUGGUAGUCUUGGAUAUAAUACAGGCUACAGUAAUGCUGGAAAUUCUGGAAAUAGUGGUUACAGAGGAAAUUAUGGAUCAUCUGGUUUUGCUGUUGGAAGUGCUGGAAAUAAUGGUUACAGAGGAAACUAUGGAGGAGGAGGAGGAGGAAACUGGAAUAAUAAUAAUGCUGUCAAUAAUGGCAAAACACCUGGAAAUCCUAAAUCUCAGUGGAAUCCUUCUAAGCCUACAUGUCAAGUUUGUCUCAAAAUAGGUCACACAGCUAAUGUAUGCUGGAAGCUGGAAGAAUUUAUUGCUUCAGGAGCUUAUAGACCACCUCCAAACAGGAAUCCGAAAUCUGCAUAUCUGGCAAACAUGGAAGGAUCAUCUGAUACAAAUUGGUACCUUGACAGUGGUGCCACUCACCAUCUCACAAAUGACAUGAACAAUAUGCAGAUUUCUGAAUCAUUUACAGGUACAUCUAAACUCAUUAUUGGUAAUGGUACUGGCUUGAAUAUUACACAUAUUGGAAAAGCUGUUCUGAGAUUGCACAACUGCACUGAUUCCACUGUGAUUAAACUAAACAAUAUACUUUUAGUUCCACAAAUAACCAAGAACCUUAUAAGCAUUUCUCAGCUAACCAAAGACAACAAUAUCACAGUUGAGUUUGCUGACAAAUCUUGUUUUGUGAAGGACAAGGUGAAGAAUUUGAUCAUACUGCAGGGCAAGGCUGAAAAAGGCUUGUACAGAUUGCUAUUAGUGUCCUCAAAUAAAACUUCUGCUCAGUCUUCCUUUCAAGGUCAUGUUGCCAAUAUUGAGUCUUCUUUUCAGUCUUUUGUUCCUUUGUCAAUGCUAUCAACUGUCAAUCUCAGUCAGUCAAAUAAUCACUGCUUGUAAAAUGUGGCAGCAGAACCUUGUAUGAACUCUAAGUGUCUUUUAAGCACUUCUGUAUUACAUCAGAGGCUAGGUCAUCCUAACUCUAAGAUCUUAAACCAUGUAAUACAAUCUUGUUCCUCUUUCAAACCUAUCAAUGGAAAUAAAGAGUUUGAUUCAUGUGAUGCUUGUAAAUUUGGGAAAAUGCAUAGAUUACACUUUCCAGCAACUGAAACAAAAACAAAACAACCUUUAGCCAUUUUACAUACUGAUUUAUGGGGACCAGCUCCAGUGGUUUCCACACAAGGUUAUAAAUAUUAUGUGAGCUUUGUGGAUGAUUUUACCAGAUUCACUUGGAUAUUUCCCCUGAAAACCAAAGAUGAAACUCUUCAUGUGUUCAAAAUUUUCAAAGCUCAAGUUGAAAAACAAUUAGAACAGCCCAUUAAAUGUCUUCAAUCUGACUGGGGAGGGGAAUUCAGAUCCUUUAGCAAAUAUCUUCAAGAAGAAGGGAUAGAAUUUAGACACUCUUGUCCUUAUACACAUAACCAAAAUGGUUUGGUAGAAAGGAAACACAGACACAUCACUGAAUCAGGACUUACUCUUCUUGCACAAGCUAAAUUACCUAUCAAAUUCUGGUGGGAUUCCUUUCAUACAGCAGCCUAUCUCAUUAACAGAUUACCAACACCUAUUCUAGCAAUGAAAACUCCAUAUGAAUCAAUCUUUCAUCAUCAACCAGACUAUAACUUUCUAAGAACAUUUGGAUGUUCUUGUUUUCCUUUUCUCAGAGAAUACAAUAACCAUAAAUUUCAUUUCCAUACUUCAAAGUGUGUCUUCUUAGGAUAUAGUCCUUCACAUAAGGGCUAUAAGUGUCUACAUUCAUCAGGCAAAAUUUAUAUUGCCAGUCAUGUAUUGUUUGAUGAAACCACUUUCCCUUACAUUUCAGAUCCAAAUUUUUCUUCCUCUUCUAAACACACUUCCUCUGAUUUUCAAUAUAAUCUUUUUCAAAGGUUUACUCUGUCAGUUCCUAAUAGCAUUCUGAACAGUCUUGAAGCUACUGCAGCAGAUCAAUUCCCUGUCAAUCAUUCUUUAUCAUCAAAUUCACCUCAAUCUCAGUCACCCACAAAUCAGACCUCUACAUCUUUGCCUUCACCUGCACCCCAGUCACCAGCACCACAAAUACCCUGCACAACACAAACAUCUCAGCCUAAACCUUCUACUUCCACCCAUCAUAUGAUAACCAGAGCUAGAGCUGGUAUUUUCAAACCAAAGACCUUUCUAACAACUCACAACAGCUUAGAACCAUCCACUGUCCCUGAGGCAUUAUCAGAUCCUAAAUGGAAAGAUGCAAUGCAAACUGAGUAUGAUGCUCUUAUUCACAACAACACUUGGACUCUUGUGCCAAUGUCUUCAACAUACAAGCUAGUUGGUUGUAAGUGGGUAUUCAGAACAAAGUAUAACACAGAUGGAACUGUCAGCAAGUAUAAAGCUAGAUUGGUUGCAAAGGGAUUUCACCAAACAGCAGGGGUAGAUUAUUCAGAAACUUUCAGUCCAGUGGUGAAGUCUUCAACAGUUAGAGUUAUACUCAGCUUGGCAGUUAUAAAAGGGUGGAAAGUCAGACAAAUUGAUGUAAAUAAUGCAUUCCUUAAUGGAGAUCUUUCUGAAAACGUAUAUAUGACACAACCAGAAGGCUUUGUAACUAAGGAAGGGUACAUCUGCAAACUCAAUAAAGCUCUCUAUGGUCUAAAACAAGCUCCACGAGCCUGGUAUGAAAAAUUGAAGGGUUGUCUAACUACUUGGCAAUUUCUUAAUUCAAAGGCUGAUACAUCUCUAUUCAUUAAACAUGAUACAAGGGGCUUAAUCAUAGUAUUGAUCUAUGUGGAUGAUAUUCUAGUCACUGGACCAGAUUCUGCUUUACUAGAGGAUUUUAUUGUUAAACUCAGUCAGACAUUUGCCUUGAAAGAUCUGGGAUUAGUUGCUUACUUCCUAGGUGUUGAAGUUAGUUACUUUGAUGAAGGUAUGCAUCUAUCUCAAACAAAGUAUAUUAAAGACUUGCUGAGUAAAGCAUCUAUGGAGAAUUGCAAAGGGUCUGAUACUCCUCUUAGUACUGGUUUGAAGCUAGAAAGAAAUGUCAGGGGUCCUUUGGGUCAGGAGUUCGAAAAUCCAACACAAUACAGAAGCAUAGUUGGAGGGUUACAAUAUCUAAUUCUCACCAGGCCGGAUAUAGCUUAUUCAGUUCAUAAGCUCAGUCAAUACCUCAGUUCUCCUACUGUUCAGCACUGGUUAGCCUGCAAAAGAGUUCUUCGAUAUCUCCAGUCAACCAUCACCUAUGGUCUCUAUCUCAGAAAGGAAGCAACUCUGGAAAUUGGAAUAACAGGCUAUACAGAUGCUGACUGGGCUUGUGAUCUUGACGACAGAAAAUCAAUUGGAGCCUAUUGUAUAUACUUGGGUAACAAUCUGAUUUCAUGGUCUUCCAAAAAGCAAGCUAUUAUAGCAAAGUCAAGCACAGAAAGUGAAUAUCGAGCCCUGUCAGCAGCAUGCUCAGAAAUUUCUUGGUUGCAGUCUUUAUUUUCAGAACUCAACAUUGCUAAACUACCUACUCCAGUUCUUUGGUGUGAUAACCAAAGUGCAGGGGAGCUAGCUCGCAACCCUGUGUUUCACUCAAAAUCUAAGCACAUAGAGUUGGAUGUUCAUUAUGUUAGAGACAAAGUGCUUGGAAAAGAAUUGGAGGUUAGAUACAUUCCUACUGAAGAACAAGUAGCUGAUGUUCUGACUAAGCCCUUAUCUUUUUCUAAAUUCAGCUUUUUUAGAUCCAAGCUCAAUGUCGUUAGUAGACCUUUGAGCUUGAGAGGGGAUGUUAAGGAAGCACACAUCAGUAGCAUAGACUGUAAAGCAGAGGAUAGCAGUAGCUCCAGCUUACAGUUAAGAGUUGAUGACAUGGCAUGCCAGCUGGCACCUGGUGGUUAUGUAAUCACUUGUUCACGUGAUAAUUAGUUGAAGUUGUUAUAGCUAGCUAGAAUUAGUUUUGUAAUGAGUUAACUAAUUGAGCUGAGCAUCAGUUGUGUAUAUAAGCAUCUCUGUGUACAGUUUCAUAAGUAAGUUUUAGAUGAAUAAAAUCGUGUGAGCCAAAAGCUUUCAGUUCUUAAAUUUUCUCAGCUUCCAAACAUCCUUUUUCUGAUUUCUUACUCUUACUACUCUCAUAUAACAACCUAUUAACGAGUUCGUUCUUCUCUUUUUGUCUACCAAAUAUCUCGGACUCAUCAAUUGAGGAGAUACUUGCCGGCCCUCGUUGAUCCGCUCUCUCAUUACUCUUGGUAACAUUCACAGCAAAACCAAACAUGGCUUUUUGUUUGUCAAUAUCAUCAAGAGUUUCAUUGAUGUCUUUCAUCUUGAGAGCAAUGCGACGACGUAAAAAAAUAGGUUUGCAGCCAAAGCAAGAGGCAGCAGGAAAGAAGGAACCUACCUUCUUCUUAGGAACGAGAGCAUCAUUCUCAUGAUCAUCCACCCCAUCGAUCUGCAGUUUGAGCCUUGCAGUGUUCCACUCACCCAACACAUCUUCCAUGUCGUAACAUGCGCAUCUGAGUCGAUCGAGCCAGAGUCUGACAGUUUCCUCCUUUACUUGCCUUUUCUCUGCAUCAUGGAGCACAGCUCGAAUGGCUUGGAGAUUGCUGGUCAGCUUCUUCGAUUCCUUUCCGACACCCGUUACAAGCCUCAAUUGUUCCUUCGCCUCUUCAACAGCCAUUGAGGUCAGCAGCUCCAAGAGAGGGGAAAUGAUCGCAUCAACCAUGGUGAAAAAGAAAAAUGAGAGAGAGAAGAAAUUGAUGGUGAGUUGUAGCAAAAGUAAGUAGCUAAUGCUGAAAGAAAUGAAGGAGCUGAUAAUGUGGUGAAAAUGUUGCCGUAUUCUUUCAAUUCUUAUAGUACUGCA